CUUCCUCCACAUGAACCUCCCUCUGUUCAUCAUCCAUGUCCUCCUCCUCCAAAUGAACUUCUUCAACGUCAACUUCUUCCUCCACAUGAACCUCUCUCUGUUCAUCAUCCAUGUCCUCCUCCUCAUUAUGGACGUCAUCAUUCAACCCCUCCCUACCUAAACUUCCUUGACACAGCAAAAGAACUUGGUCUUGUUGUUGUUCACUUGGUUCUAU
rnacentral:lncRNA from 1 species